CUAGUUUCUUAGUUUCUAAUGUUUGAAUACUCUUUAUUUUUUAAAAUUAUAGAACCAUCAAAAUGUUAAAUAAGAGAGAAUAGUUUUUAAGCUUCAAACUUCUGUGAAAAUUGGCUGUCAGUUUACAAAUUGAUUUAAAAACCUAACUGUUUGAUGUCAGUACAAAUCAAUCAUAAUUAAUCAGGAUAAAAACUCAGCUGUGAACUGAUUUGGUAAUUUGGCUUAUAUAUGCUUUAUUUCUAAUAAGCAUGUAUUGUGUUCCUGUUAUAUUAAUCACUGAGCUCUUGGUUGGAAAGUAUUAGUUUUAUUUUCAUUUUAAUAUUUUAACAUUUUCUUUUAAUUGCAAUUAGACAAAAAUGAAAUUUUCUUCAUGUUGUUUUAACAGUCGUACGUAUUUUACUUUUAAAGUCUAUGAACUAGUUAGUGGACAGUAUUUUAAUUAUCUGGUAUACUAAACUUCAGAGUUUAACAUUUAGCAAAAUUUUGCUUCACAAAGUCACUUUGUAGAAUGACAGGAAAUAUAUACAGCUUCAAAUCCAUAUUCAGACAUAUGCCCCUUUCCCUUCCUCAAAAUAAAUGCUUUUAAAAAGUGCAGUAUAAAAGUUUUAGCUAUGAAGGCACUGCAUAAUUCUGUAUUAUAUGGCUAAUGUCUUGAUUAGCAGCAAGAGUGAUGAGAAUAUUCUACACUUAAUUUACUGGAACAUAAGAAACUUUUUGAGGAAGGACUUAGCUCUCAUCAAAGAAAAAGAACCUUUUGUCCUGUUUAGUUAAUGCAUUCCUUUUCAAGAUUGCUUUUAAAAAACCUCAUCUGAAAAAGCUAUCUAGAAAAUGUCUACCACAAAUAUUGUACAUGAGUGUCGGGAGAUUCGGAGAAAAGUACUUUAUGUGGAAAUAUAUAUAGUUUCAUAUGAUAAAGCUAAAUAUAUAUUUCCAAAUCUACUGUUUUUAUAUAAAUGCUGCCAACAACAGAUGACUUGUCAAAACAGUUUUAAAGGGUUAUGUUCAUAGUAUUUUUUAUAAAUCUAAUGAACCAAAGUCAUUAUACUCUUCUAUUCUUAAACUUAGGGAGUUUGUAUCUGCUUCUGACAUGUUGAAUUCACUGGGUAAUGAUGAUGUAUGAUUCAAGAACUGUUGUGAUGUCCUAAACUGUUAUAAAAACAAAAAUCAUAGGCAGAGGACCUUAUAAACAAUUACCCACAUUUGUUACCUUAGAACCAAACUGAAU
rnacentral:lncRNA from 1 species